rnacentral:lncRNA from 1 species
GCAAUAUGCGGCCAUCUGUAUGUAUAUAUUUUUCUCAAAAAAAUCCUGUGUGUAUAUACAACAUAGCAGUUUACAAAUCCUUCCAUGUAAUGAUAAUUUACAACACUACAUAUAUCACACAACAAGGUUAAGAAGCAGUACAAUCCAGUGUACAUCAACAAAACAUAUAAACUUUUGAAGCUGCUGUUGAGGUUCUUCGUCGAUUCUCCUGAUGGCAACUAUCAUGUCCUGGCGCAGAUUAUGAUGGGUAGCACUUUGUAGACCACUACCCAAUCAUACCUAGCAUAUUUAAAAGAACAUUAGAUUUUUGCAGAUUCAUAGAUAGCAGAGACAACAGUAUUACAACAAGUGUAAAAAAUGUAUUACAUGUCCACUUGGCCAGUAUUGAGAGUACUAUUACUUAUAACAGGGAAAAUAAUGAAAUGAAAAAAACCAGUAUAUUUGUACAGAAGGUGACAAGACCUACAAAUAUAAUUUAUUACAUGGCUUACAAAUUACUUCAUGGUUAUUAAGGUACAAGCUAAAUCAUAAAACAUGAACACCAACUGAACAUAAUACUAGUACUAAGUCACCUUAGUCUACCUAAUACCUUAGCAUAUUUACAACAAAAUUAGACAUUAGAUAGUAGAAAUAAGAGAUUAGAACAAACAUAAAAAUAAAUGACAUGCUUUCCAAAAUUCUUAAAACAUACCAUGGCUACAAAUGAGAAUAACAUUAUAUACUAUAAAACAAUAAUAAUUAUGUUGUUGCUUAACAUUAAUCCAAAUAGAAGUGUGUGAAAUGAAAGUCUAUUCAAGUUGACCUUUAAGUGACAACGUAACAGAAGAUAGAUUUCAAAACUCCUAUUACUCAGCAGCAGUUGAGGCCAUAUAAAUCCACGGGAAAAGGGCAUCACUAAUAAGCAAUAUCAAUGGGGCGUAGCCGCUGCUCGUCGACCCGGCCGGUGUAAACUUCAGAUGUUCAUGUGUCAACAAGUUCACUCAUGAAACUAAAUAUUUGUCAAGGAUCUGAAAAUAGCAACCAACACUUGCUUGACACGUAAACUUCAAUUGGCAUGAAAAAUACCUAACUCUGAACUAGAUCAACUAAAUAGGUGUAGUUCAGUGGUAGUUGAGCUGGGGAAUGGAAAUAAUGAAGAAAUCAUAGGAGUGGCAGUAGAGAACCAACCCCUGGUUGAUCACGGAGCAGCUCCAUCACGGCCAUCGUGGCAGCCCGCCCUCUCAAGCUCUAUUUUGCGCCAUGCAACAGUGCCACCAAGACCUGCAUCCUAAAAAACAUAGAUCAUAAUCAGGGAAAUUAGAAUGUUAAGUUAUCAAAAUAAAAAAGAGGGAAUAACAUCAACAAGAUUUAGAUAAAGCAGUAGACAACAAUCCCCACUUGUUGGGGGGACUAUUGCUGAGGGCGACCUAGAUAUGAAGGUAGGGAGCAGAGGAGUUGAAUAAGAAAUGUGUGUCAUUGUGUUGGCAAGUGCUAGCUCGGUGUGUCUCCUAGUUGAGAGUGAGCUAACACGUACGUUGUCUUGGUACAAGUACUAGUAAGUGCAGAACUAAUAGUAGUAGUAGUACUACUACUAUAAAUUGACUCACUAAUACAUGUGUUUAGUACACAAAUUGACAAGUUUAAACUAUGUAUUAUUACUGUAGGACUGCCACACUGUAAAUGUAAUUUUCUUCUUAGAUCCAUAUUAAACUAAUUCUGAUAUAUAUUCACCGAGCUGCAAGAGACAGUGAAAACAGAAAAAGAAAUGCCUAGGAGAAAACACUAAACAGAACAUGUCACGAUGUUAAUACAUUAACAGAAAUCAUGUCUCCAAGACCUAUUUGAUGAAAUUAUUGACCACACUUGAUUACAUUUAUUCAUACUGAAUUAUAUUUUGAUAGAAAAUAAACUGAAUGAAUACUGAACACUUGGUUAUAUUGAUUUAGAGAACAGAGAUACACCAAACUAUUGGAAAAAUCUAAACUGAAUUAGAUUUGGUAGAGAACUAACUGAAAUAGAUAUUGAUACAAGGUCGCAUCUGCAGCCGGUUGACGAACAUGUGCGGAUAUAUCUACUUGGUACCCUGCAGUGUACAAGAUGGAGAGAAAACUCAAUGUUAAAAGAUUCAGAGAGGAAGCACGACACACACAACAUACUGGCUGUUGCACGCACGCACAUCUCACUAGUAGACACGCCGGAGCCACCGAUUGCCGCUGCUGCCGCCAUGUCAUCACGCACACACAACGCACCCUACAAGUUGGAGAAGGCAAUAGCCAUGCUUAGGAAAUCGACUGUAGAGGGAGGCCACGCACCAGCCAUAGCCUUCCCAGCUUGCUAACGAAUGGCUGGUACAGCUACCAGUGUAGGCAAAUGAACCGGCGGUCGCAGCAGCAACACAAGGCCAUGGUAUCGAGGAAGCCAAAAAGAGGGAGGGGCAAGGGCAGCAUCACUAACUAGUCGCGACUAGGUGCGGCCUCCACUGAGCAAUUGUGGUAACCGGCCACCCGACGGUAGAUCCGGUCUGACAAGACCUGUGUCGGGGUUCAGCUUUGUCCCAGAUCUGCGCGCGCCGGAUCUAUAGCAGCAGCCCGAGGCCAUGGUAUUGAGGACGGGAGACAAUGGGGUAGAAAAAGACCGCAGCCGUGGAGGUGGGGUUGGUGGAGGAAGGAGAACCAGAGCGGUGGGGGUGCGGGGGCAGCGUAAAGGAGAGGAUCAGAGAGAAGG